UUCGCCGUCACCGCAACCACCGUUCCCUCAAAUCAAAAUACCAUGUCGGACGAAGAGCACCAUUUCGAAUCCAAGGCCGACGCCGGAGCCUCCAAAACCUACCCUCAACAAGCCGGUACCAUCCGUAAAAACGGUUACAUCGUCAUCAAAAACCGUCCUUGCAAGGUCCGUAUCCACAUUCUAAUUCCUUUUUUAAUUAGGUUUUUACUAAAUUAAUCAUUGAUUUGAUUUCAUGUAUUUGAUUAGAUCCAGUUUUUCUGCUUCACUGUUUUGGUUUCAUAUUUAAUUUAUUUUUUCUAUGUUGAAAUCUAUGUUUUUUUAUUGAUUUAAGUUCAAAAUUAAUCAUGAUUUUGAUUUGAUUUGUUCAAUUUUUGAGUAAAUUAAUCUAUGUUUCUGUUGCUUCACUGUUUUUGUUCAAUUUUUGAUGGAUUUGUGAGUUGAAUUUUCUGUUAUUGAUUUCCUUUUAUCAAUUAAUCAUCCGUUUGAUGGCUAUUUUUCUGAAAAUUAGUGUAUGUUUGGAAUUAGGGUUUUGGUGAAGGGAGUUUAAGAUGGCUAUGUCUAUAUUCUGUUAUAUAUUUGAGAUUUAAACAUUUCAAUCACAAUUAAUUUAUUUUUAGUAUAAUUUUAGAGUUUCUUUAAUUUAUCCUUAAUAUUGAAAAGAAAAAUAAGUCUUCCCCGUUUUCUUAAUAUUAGGUGAGUCUGCUUACUGAAAAUGGGAACACUAAGGAUGACCUCAAGCUUCCUACCGAUGACAGUCUACUCACUCAGGUUUGUACAGAUCUCAUGAUUCCUUGUUUGAAUUUACCAAUAUGGUGUUAUUUUUAUGUCUUUUGUAUCGUGUGUUUGAGUAAUAUGUGUUACUUGAUUGCAGAUUAAGGAUGGAUUUUUAUUUGUGUAACAAUACGGAAUUUAGAUAUGAUGUGAUUUUCUGUUGGGAUUGUGAGAAUUUGGAAUCUUUAAUGUUUCAGUGCUUAUUGCUUAUUCGUUUAACAGUAAGGAACUUAGAUAUGAUGUGAUUGUUUAUAGGAGUGUGAAAAUUUGUAGUUAUAAUGUUUAAGUGCACAAUCCUUUUACAGUAAGGAAUUAUAAUAGAAAAAAAAAAAAUUCUACCUGAAAGUUCAUGAUUUUUUCUAAAAAUAUAUGCCUGUGAAGAGUUUUUAUUUCCUUUCAUUUAACAUGUUUUUUUGUUGUACGACAGGGGAAGAAAAAGGAAGGAAAUGCUGCUAAAUUUGUCACUAGGAAUCAUGCUCUCAAGCAGCUUCAAAUCAGUCUACCCCUUUUCAGGUUCCAUAUGCUCAUAUAUAUAUAUAAACCAACAUUAAUGCUAUAUAUGAUAAUUUUCUUUUUCCCGAAAUGUCAUGAAGCACAUUCUGCUUUAAAGAAAAUUGCAAAAACUGUUCUACACCUGAAUUGGGCGAAAAACAUGGCAAUGAAAGUGAAAUAGCAAAUCAUAAUGAUUUGUGCUGUAAUUGUGAUGGUUACUUUCGUGACAUGAAUCAUUAUCCAUAAACCAAUUUAUGGGGCUUUUGUAGGAAAAGAAGGGUUUCUUUGGGUUAAAUUUCUCUUAGCUUGAUUACAUAUACAUAUUUUUUGUUAUCAUUAUUGAUCUAAUCUGUUAUCAUUUUGAAUAUGCAUAUAUUUAGCGUUACUCUUAAAUAUUUUGAAAAGUUAAUAUGGUUAAAUGUGAAGUUGAUUUUUUGUAAAUUUUAGGAAGCUGUGCAUUUUGAAAGGUGUAACUCCCCGGGAGCCUAAGAAAAAGUUAGGACGUCAGACUUGCUACCAUGUGAAGGAUAUAAGCUUUCUACAUCACGAGCCUUUGCUGGAAAUACAUAGAGCAAUAAGAGUACAUGAAAGAAAAAUUAAGAAAGCAGAGGCAAAGAAAAACAUUGAACGUGCAAAGAGGUUACGUGAUAAAACACCCAAACCCAAGUUAGAUAGGAUUAUUCGACAAAGGUUUGUUUGUUUUGGUUUUUUCCUUUCUAAAUUUCAAUUUAUGUCCUGUAGCCGGCGACAUAUUUCCAAUCUUUUUCUUCUCAUUCUUUGAAUUAUAGGUACCCAAGAUUUGGGGAUGCACUUGGAGAAUUGGAUGGCUGCCUUACAAUGGUACAUCUUUUUGCAGCAUUACCUGCGACUGAGAGCAAAAAAAUUGAUGUGGAGCGUGUCCAUAAAUGUCGAAGGUAUGUACAUGGAAUUAUAAUAACUUUAAAUUGAUUUGUCAUAAAGAAUUUAGGCCUUUGUGCCUAAAUCUUUACUUUGAAAAUAACAACUAGGGGAUUAGAUUUUUAUAUUAAAAUCUUGUCAUUUACAUUAAUUUUCUUUUACCUUAUGCUGUAAUAAUAUUUAUAUUCUUUUGUUUAUUGCAUGCACGUAUUCAUGCUGUAAUAAUUUUUAUAUUUAUCUUCUUUUGUUUAUUGCAUGCCCGUAUUCUAGAUUGGCGCAUGAAUGGCAAGCAUACAUAUCUCGUACUCACAGGUUAAGAAAAACAUUUGUAUCUGUUAAAGGCAUAUACUACCAGGUACUGAUUGUGGCAUUUGUUAUGUUAAUCAAUCAUAAUUGUACAUUUUAUUGAUUUAUUAUGUUGUUUGUGCAGGCUGAAGUCGAGGGUCAGACAAUAACAUGGUUAACUCCUCAUUCACUGCAGCAGGUUGUGUCUGAUGAUGUUGACAUCCCCACCAUGCUUAACUUUCUGCAAUUAUAUGAGGUCAGUUUAGUUUUAUGUUUGUAUUAAGUGUCUUCAUUUUUUGAUAAAUAAUCAAUGUCCAUAUCAUCCGAAGUAAUAGGAUAAUAGAUCUAAAUAUUUUAAUCAUGUAAACAUUUAAUUUGAAUAUGUUCUGCUGUGUUACGAUUAUCAUGUGGUUCAUGUAUAAAACAAAUUUAGUUAGUCAACUUAAGUUCAUGUACUAAUUGGUAUGGUAAACUUCUACUUUCUAAUGAAUUGCUGCAGCCUCUUCUUGCUCGAUCCUCGCUUGGAGGCGUUGGCAGCAGGUACCAUUUUCUCAACUUUUAUGGAAUUUGGUGAACUUGAAUUGCUGCAGAGAUUUGAUGUAUCUGCCGAUCAAUUUUCUUUUUAAACUUUGUAGAUCUAUAUGCAUUGUCAAGAUAUGCCAAUGCCGACAACAGACCCGCAAUACUGAGUUCUGAAGCUUCUCAAUUAGUUGAAUCUGAACAAGGGGGGAACAAGAAAACUGAGGCAGAGACUGAAAAUGAAAAAUCUGAACUUAGACUUGCUCAACUUCAGAAUCAACUUCCGUCUAAUGAACCCGGUGCACUAAUGCACCUUGUUGAGAAAGCUGCAGGUGAUGAUGAAGAGGAAUAUGAUCAAGAGACACGAGAAUGCAAAAAUCUCUUUCGAAAUGUCAAAAUUUUCUUGAGCAGGGAGGUAGGACCUUAAAGCAUUUGCAUUUAAUUUUGCAAUAUAAAUUAUUAGAAAAUAUAAAAAGUUGAUGUUUGGAAUAGUGAAGUUAAAAAAGGGUUAGGUCUCAAAGUAUUAUACUUGGAAGUAUUAACAUAUAUAAAAAUCCCAAGAUUAUUAGUAAGUGAAUGGAGUCUCCAACACUGUAAUUGAAAGGGACACAGUUCCAGGUGACACUCUCACAUACCAACCUCGGUUCUACUUUUUUUUUUCUCUUUACUCUUUCAAGUUUUCCAUCUAAAUAAAGUAUACUUGAAAAGGAAGUAAGAGAAUGAUGAGUGAGUAUUUGAUAUAUCUUAAAAUAUUUAAUCCAUCAUAUACCCAUACCAUAUAACUUUCUCUCUCUGACUUUUAAUUAUUUAAUUUUCCUUUAAGGCCUACUUCACUUUUUCUCUGUUGCAGCUUUGAGUCUAUAAAUAAAUAAAUAAAUAAAAUUUGUCCUAUUUCUGUUUGAUAAGUAAUAUAUUAAUUUGCCAAUUUAGUGCUGGAUCACUCACUGUCUCCAACUUUAUGGCCGAUUAGAGUGUGAAUACGCUAUGAUUAAACCUUAGAUCCCAAGGCUUCAACAAACCAAAGCUCUCUGAUAUUUUGAAGUCAUAGCAACCACGCUAUUAUACUUGGAAGUAUUAACAUAUAUAAAAAUCACUUCACGAUAAGACAGUUGAGUGGUUUACACAUUUUCUAUUGGAAUGUCUCAUAGAGAUGCCAAUCAGGGUUGGGACAAACACUUCAACUAUUAUGACUAAACAUGGUCACUGCAAUGUCUUGUUUUCAUUUUGUAUUUGUGGAGUUUCAUUGGUCAGUUAUAUGUAGGUACCAGAAGUAAGCUUUUUCUGAGGCUUAUGACAUGCUCGUAUAUUAAAAAGUUGAUGAAGCUAACAAUGCAAUGCCCAUUAAAAACUUAGCCUUUAUUGUGUAUAUUUUGACAUUGCCUGCAUCUGUUGUGGUUUAAUUGUUCAGGUACCAAGGGAAUCAUUGCUUCUUGUUAUUCCUGCUUUUGGUGGUAAAGUUUCAUGGGAGGGAGAGGGGGCUCCUUUUGGGGAAUCAGACCAGAGCAUUACUCACCAGGUUUGUGAUUUAGGUGACAUAACUUUUUUGAACUUUGUUUUAGGUUCACUUAGCUAAUUCUUUCAUUUCUUUAGAUCGUUGAUCGGGAAUCACAAGGACAUAGGUUCCUCUCAAGAGAAUAUGUUCAACCACAGUGGGUAUUUGAUUGUGUGAAUGCACGCAUAAUUUUGCCAACAGAAAGUUAUAUGGUUGGAAGGUAACUUCUAAUUCAUCUGCGCUAUAGUAUACUGACUUCUCACCUCUGUUGUACAGUUUAUAACCCCAUUUGGCGUUGAUUGUGGUGGUUUACAAUUCCUUUAUUUUACAAUGUAGACAUUGUUAAUAUAUUGCUUCUCACCUAAAUUAGUACGUGGGCCUCUGUUCUUUGGUAAUUGAUGUUGUAUUAUCUGUGAUUAUUUUUUAGGUUCAUUUUAUUUGUGAUUAUUUGGUCGGCAUGUGCUAAUUUUGGUCUGAGGAAAAUAAUUUGUUCUACAAGGGAUCAUGAUAUCUUAAUUUUUUGAAAAAUGGAUAAUAUUUUGCUAAUUAAAAAUAUAAUAUUUUAAAUUUCGAAAAAAAUCCACAUGUAUAAUAAUACACAUAUACUGACAGUACAAAGUCCCAUAGGCUGUGGAAUAAAUCUUACCGGUCAUGCAGAUUUUAGUGUCAAUCUCUUUAAAAUAUAUAUACCCAACCUCAUAUAGUAAGUUGUGUCACAUUGGAUGUAUUAUUAUUAUUGUUGAUGUUGUUGUAAAUUAUGAUACAACAUCAAAUCUACACGACUUGUGUAUAAAAUCAAUUAUUUAGGGUUGGUUUACUUUGUGAAAACAUUGUGUUUUCAUUUUCUGAAAUGUGCUCAUUUUACCGUGAUAAGAGACUCUUGAAGUGAACGAAUGUCAUAGAGAAUGUGAAAUGCUAGUUAAUGAAGAUGCAUUUAUGGAAAUAAUGAAAAUAAUUGACAUGUUCAUUUUUUUCUAUAAACGUAGACAAUUGUUAACUUCAGUAAUUGUUAACUUCAGUAAUCUGUUACUGUCUUAUUAACAAGUAAAAUAAAUACAAAUUUUAAGAAAUGAAAAUAGGAAAGGCUUUCCCAAAUUAAACAGGCCCUUAGUUGUCGUUGCCAAUGUCAAGUCAUCAUCAAUCAUUCAUUAACUUGAGAGUCAAGAUCAGAAAAAAUCUUACAUAUAUUUGUUUGUAUUUCCGCGAGAGUACAUUUUUAUUAUAUUCAAAGAAAAGUGUCUAUAUUAAAGAAAAAGCCUAUCAUAUCCGACUUUAACGAAAUUUUUCUUGUUAAAAUGCUUCUUUUAUUAACAGAAUUCCUCCACCGCACUUGUCCCCGUUCGUUAACUAUGACGAAGAAGGGGCAUAUGUUCCGGAGUAUGCAAAGACCAUUAAACACUUGCAAGCUGCUGCCAGAAAGGAAGUCCUUCCACUUCCAGGUGUUGAAAAAGAUCUCGAAGAUCCUCAAAAUCUUCUGGCUGACGGUAUCAUUGAUCGAGCAGAGGCUAACGAAGCGGCUAAGAGAAAGCAGAAGGUAUGCAUACUGAGACACGAACAGUGCAUAUUGAUUGGAGGCUAUCAUUCUAUGUUUUACUUUGUUGAUAAUAAUAUGUAAGUAAUUCCAUUUCAAUUGUUGUCUUGCAGAUGAUGAUUCUAGAGAAGCAAUACCAUGAGGAUUUGAUGAAAGAACUUCAGGGUGCUACAUAUACUUCAGCAGGUUCUACUGCUGAAAAAGAAACAUCUACUGGAUUGAUUCAGACAGCUGAAUCAACGAACAAUGGUCAAGAAAAUGUUGAUGAUUUGACUAAACUUAUGAUGUCUCGUAAAAAGAGGAAGCUAUUAGAAGCCAUGCAGGUACACCUAUUUGUAUCCUCUUUAUACAGAUUUGAAUUUCUUAUCCAUAUUAGUUCUAUUGUUUGUGUACUUCUUUUACUUUUCAAAUUAUCUAUCUGAACUUGCCAUUUGACCAUUACUAUUCUAUUUAAUCCAUAUUCCUAUUUAACCGGUGGGAAAGUGGCAGGUUGUCUUGUAGUUACAAUAAUGUUGCCUUUUUUUAAUUUGUUUUGAUGUUCAUAACUUUUGUUGUUGAAAUGUGUCACUCAGAUAUCGAAUGAGCGCAAGCAAGCUAAAAAUGAUCUUAUCAAACACCGGAAAAAGAAAAUCGACGAAGCUCAGAAUCAAAGGAGUUGAAAGGAAUCUACGUUCUCAAAGGGUUUCAGCUAUAUGCCAUUUCAUUUUGCUAUAUAGGUGCUAGCUGAUUUAUAAGGCUAGUUUUCUUUUGUUGUUUUCCAGUAUAACUUAUUUUAUUUAGUAUCUCUUCUUUCUGUUUUGUAACAUGUUUUGGAAGGGCCAAAGAACAUUUUGAUUUUUUUUAUCUACUAGUUAUACCUUGAUCUACUAGGGUGUGUAAGAAACUGAGUAAAUCCAGUGAACAAUGCUAACUAGUUUGGUUUGGAAUGCAGACGAAAGGCUUUUAUAUCUAAGGAUGUUAAAUGCAGACGAAAGGCUUUUAUAUCUAGCACUUGCGUAAUCAGGUGAUUUUAAAAUUAGAGCAUAAAUGGUACACUACGGAACUAACAAACAGUGCAAAAUUUCAAAAAGUAUGUCCGUGAUUUGGAAUGCUUUAUAUACUUUGUUCAUGUCAGUGCAAAUGAUUGAAUACAUGUGUCAUUUAAAAUUACAAUGGCAACCCCUAAAUACUUCAGUUAAAAAGUAGACAUAAUCAAUAAUACGAGAGGAAAACUUACUAUCAAUUGAGAACAAACACAAGCUUUGAACAUUCCUUAAGAUGUUUUAGAGAUGAAAAUUUACAGACAGAAGGUUCACUGGUUCACAUGAGCAGAGAUGAAUCAACUAAAUGAUAUAAGCUAAUCUCUAACUGAUUUAAAAAGGCCUAUAGUCAAGUAAUUUUCAUCUAUAUUUUCCUAUUUUUGGCACCUCUAACUUUAAUCUGGGAUAUCUAUUAAAAUAUUGAUCAAUAGGUAGUGCUACUAAACAAUAUCAACUUGUUUCAAUUGGAUAUGAUCUUGAUUUCUAAGUCACUCUCCAUUCCGAAAUUUCCCAACAGCUGCAUCCUCAACCAAUUAUGAUGAUUUCAAAUACAUAAAUAAGUAAUCAACUAGUUCACAACAUGAAUUUCAAUGUGUGUACCUCAUUUGUUCAGCUAUCAUAAUUUCAAUCUCUGCCAAUUGAGGAUUAUCCGUGUCAUUCAUGAAAAUAUUAACAUCACCAACCAUAGCUGCAAAUAGCAUAUAUAUAUAUAUAUAUAUAUAUAUAAGUCUCCAAUGUUAAUAAAUUGAACAAUAAUGAAUUAAAGGUCACCAUGAAUUAAAAGUCUCUAGAGUUGAUAAAUUAUGUGAUCAUGCAAUGGCCAUCCGCUCAUUUUCUAUGAACUUUCAUAUAAGUGAUUAUAUUGUUGAGAAUCAUUGAAACGAGUCUAUGAUCAACCAGGUCCUUCUUAAUAACAUUUGUAUCAUAAUUGCAAGUCUUAAGCCUCCUUUUGCAGGAUGAUUUCCCUAUAUGGAAGUUUUUUAAUGAAAAUUUAUUCACUAUUAAUUUUUGUCAAGAGAGCAUCAUACUCCUUUUGAGUCCCCUAAUUUUAAUCUGGUGUGGAAAUGAAUUGGACCUCCCAGAUUUCAUACAUUUCUUUUAAAAGUUUUCACACAAACAACUUCUAACUAAUGCCAAAAGAAACCAUUGGGGUAUAUCUGAUAAUAUGGUUUGCAUCAGAUGCUCCCAAGUUUCGGAAACUAUUAUGCACGUUCUUAGAGAUUUUAAUGUGGCACAUAGUCUUUGGAAAAACUUUAUUACUAUGGAGAGUGAGCAAUCAAGUUCCUUUUUUAGACUCACGCUUCCUCAAUGAAUUGGCUUUAAUCUUACGGUAGUUGAUGUUAGUUUGAUCAGAGGCCAUUGGCCUCUGGUGUUUGGAAUCAUGGUAAAUUGUGGAUGGAUAGGAACCAAGUAGUUUUAUCAAGAACACCACUUAAUGCUAAAAAAAUUUGUAAUCUUUUUAUAGAAAACCUUUCUCCAUUCAUCAACAUCUUUACCUUUGUCCUCCUUCCUUUUUUAGAGGAUCGUAAGAGAGAGAUUAAUGUUAAAUGGUAUCCUCCAAAAUUCUUUUAAGCUCAACAUUGAUGGUUCUUAUCACAACACAACAGGUCUCAUUGCUUGUGGAUGGAUUAUUAGAGAUCAUAAAUGAGUUUAUAUUCACGGUUUUUUUUGCAAUCUCGGUUGAGCUACAUUUGUGUUAGCUAAACUGUGGGGCUUGUUUCAUGGUCUUAUAAUGACAUGUAGUUCGGUUUUGACUACAAUUUUGGUGAAAUGAACUCUCAUAUGGUAGUCAACAUGAUUUGGUCGAGGGAAAUGGGUAAUCUCUAUCUUACGCCGCUUCGUCAAGAAGUAAUCUCUAUUGUACACGAGGAACGGAAUUGGGUGGUUAAUCAUGUCUAUCUUGAGACUAAUCAAUGUGCAGAUAAGCUAGCUAACCUUAAUCUCAUUUGAGAUUUUAAUUUUAUUGACCCAUGUACUCCUUUUCCUAGUGUAUUACUUCUUAUUGAUGAUGAUUAUAGAGGGAUGUAUUUAUCUCGUUUCUUUCUCGUAAGUUUUCUUUGUAAUUUUCCCUUUUAUCAUGGAGAAAAAGGAAUGUUACUCAACUAAUAAGAUCUUAUCAAAACACAACAGGUCUCAUUGCUUCAUGAUGGCUUAUUAGAGAUCAUAAAGGAGUUUAUAUUUGUGAUUUCUUUUGCAAUCUUGGUCGAGCUACAUAUGUGUUAGCUGAACUUUGGGGCCUGUUUCAUGGUCUUAUAAUGACAUGUAGUUUGAUUUUGACUACUAUUUUGGUGGAAAUGAACUCUCAUAUUGUAGUCACCAUGAUUCAGUCAAGGAAAAUGAAUAAUAUAUAUUUUAUGCCGCUUCAUCAAGAAGUCAUCUCCAUUGUAAACCAGGAAUGGAUUUGUGUGGUUAAUCAUGUCUAUCUUGAGACUAAUCGAUGUUAAUAAGCUAGCUAAUCUUAAUCUCAGUUGAGAUUUUAAUAUUAUUAACCCACUUACUCCUCUUUAUAGUGUGUUACUUCUUAUUGAUGAUGAUUAUAGAUGUAUGUAUUUCUCUCGUUUCUUUCUCGUAAGUUUUCUUUGUAAUUUUCCCUUUUAUCAUGGGAAAAAAAAAAAGGAAUGCUACUCAAAGAAUAAGAUAUGGAGUUUCAAAUUCGAUUCAAACCCCAAAAUCAAUGUCCUAAAAGUAUAUCCUUGAUAAUUCCGCUUCAGACCCUUUUAUUAACAAAAUCAAUGUCCCUUUUAACAAUUUUGGAGCUUUUAUAGUACAUUCAUUAAUCGAAGAGUUUUGGUACAUUUUUUCUCUAAAUCAAUAAAUUAAGGAUAAUUUUAAUGAAUCAAAUAGUUAUUUAUUGACUUUUGUAUUUUAUAAAAGAUCAUUUCAUAUGAAAAAAAAAACGAUUUUGUUGUUUAUAAGUACUAUACUAGUUUUUUCUAUUUUAUUGUAAAAAUAUUCAAUAUUCACAAUUAUGAUUUAUUUGACUUACACUUUUGAUAAAUAAUAUUUAGUUAUUAUAAUUAUAUAAAUAAUAGGAAUUAUUUUUUUCCUAAAAAAUUCAAUUAACUAUUAAUUUAAAUAUCAAAUGUAUUGAUACAUGUCAAAUUAAUUGAUUUACUGAAGAAAUGCUCUUUCAAAAUAGUUCCGUCGCUAAAUUAAUCCACUUACAAUAAAAAUAUAGAUGAGUACAAGAGAAGAUUUCAAUAAUUAAUCCUAAGCUAAAUUAGACUUUUAGUCCCUCAACUUAGAUUUUGGUUUCAAUUUAAUCUCCUAAUCAUUUUCAUUUUGUUUUAGUCUCUUACAUAUACUUUUGUUAGUCAAGUUGGUCAUAUCUGUUAAUUUUUGAAAUCUUCUCUUGUGCCCAUCUAUAUUUUUGUUCUUCUUCAACCUAAAAGUAGUGGUUUUGUUCCUCUUUUCAACUGUACUCUGCAUAACUUGUGACUAAUUUUGUUCACAGCGAGAACACUAAUAAAUACAUAUGAAGAACAAAAUGGAUGAAUUGAAGUGACAUCAUUCAAAAAAAAAGUCAAGUUAAAUUCUCCAAAAAGAUCUAGAAAAUGUCUAUUUAUUAGCAUGACAUUAUCAUCAUUUUGCAAUUUGAUGGUACACACAAACCAUUUAAACAUACGGAUUGUGUGGCAUCAAAGUAGUAUCAAAAGAUUACAAUGAUAGUAAGUAAUAGUAUCACAAGAUUCGUUAGAAGAAUACCAUCUUCCACUACAUUUGAUUUGUUAAAUUGUCCAAUUACCAAAGAUCUUUAACCAUUUUCAAAUGUUGAAAUAAGGGUUCCUACAACAAGGAGAUGAAAACUUAAAACUCAAACAUGGAUACAACCGAGACAUAUAUCGCAAAUCCUAAUAAAUAAAACACGAAUAUUUGCUAUAAUAUCACUUGUUGGAGAUUCCAAUGGUGAUAGUUACUCCGCAUACCAAAAACCUUAAGGCAUAUCUCCACCCACCUAAAUCCCAAUAAAGUUGAUGUUGCAAUCACUUCCAACUUCAAAGACAUUCUUGAUGUGGAAGAUUUUACCACAUCCUUGGUCAUGUGAGAAGAUUGAAAGCAAAUAAAUAAAGUGUGCAUCAGAUGCUUUUUAUGUUGUACGAACCAUGUGCUAACACAUGCAUACUCAAUUUUAAAAUAUAUCUACAGUUUUACGAUCACUUGAUUUUCUAGGCAAUUCAACUUCAAAAUUUAUGCUAAAUGAUAUGGUUUAAAGGUGUGCUAUAACAAAUUCAAUAACAAAACUUGUAGAAACAAUGAUAUAACCAUCCAUCAUCCAUCAGUUACAUGACUAAAGUAAAUUUAACUAUUGAAUAAAGACCUCUUAUACUUUUUCUUUGUUUAGCUAUUAGUUUGUUCUCUCAUCCAUCAUCCAACACUAUUUUUGCAACACCUCAUAAGUGGUCCCUGAAAUCUAAAUGGGAACAACAAAAAUGUUGUACUGCAUAUAAAAAACCAAAACAAAUGCUAAAAGGUGUGGAAUAAUUUGAUAAAAUGUCCUAUUAAACAAGUAUUUAUUUCACAAAAGUUUUUGGAUAGAAUAAUUUGUCCAAAGAACAAAGGUGUGGAAUCAGAAACAUGACGUGUGAAAGGAGUAAAGAACAUUGAAACUAUAUCAAUAGAAUACCAUAUAUUGAAUAUGAGGUAUAGAUGUUUAUUUAUUAGCAACAGUAGUACAGAAGCUAACUUGCAAAAGUUAUGAUGUACAAUGAGUUUUUGUUUAAGCCAUAUGUGUUUUAACUUGAAGAAAAUGUUUCCUAAUAAAGGACUUUGUAGCUCCUUUAACACAUGCUAAAAUGUCCUAUUAAACAAGUAUUUAUUUCACAAAAGUUUUUUGAUAGAAUAAUUUGUCCAAAGAAGAAAAGGUGUGGAAUCAGAAACAUGACGUGUGAAAGGAGUAAAGAACAUUGAAACUAUAUCAAUAGAAUACCAUAUAUUGAAUAUGAGUUAUAUAUGUUUAUUUAUUAGCAACAGUAGUGCAUAAGCUAAGUUGCACAAGUUAUGAUGUACAAUGAGUUUUUGUUUAAGCCAUAUGUGUUUUAAUUUGAAGGAAAUGCUUCCUAAUAAAGGACACUCCAACUCCUUUAACAUAAGCUAAAAUGUCCUAUUAAACAAGUAUUUAUUUCACAAAAGUUUUUUGCUAGAAUAAUUUGUCCAAAGAACAAAAGGUGUGGAAUCAGAAACUGAAAGGAGUAAAGAACAUUGAAACCAUAUCAAUAGAAUACUAUAUAUUGAUACGAGGAAUAUAUGUUUAUUUAUUAGCAAGAGUCGCAUAGAACCUAUCUUGCACACAUUAUAAAAAGUAAUUACAGCUUGAAAAACAUGAAAUCAAAUAAUGUUGAGCAACAACAGAAUGAAGCAACUGAAGAAGGUAACAUAGAUCUCCUCUACAAAAUAAUUAAAGAUGAUCAAUCAAUUUUGGAGAGUAUCGAUUCGAAACAAUUUGUGGAAACUCCUUUACAUAUCGCUGCAGCUAUGGGUCGUAUCCAGUUCGCCAAUGAAAUUAUGAGGUUGAAACCUUCAUUUGCUCGUAAGCUAAAUGAACAAGGAUUCAGCCCUAUCCACCUUGCUAUGCUAAACAGCCGAAAGUGGAUGGUGUUUAAUUUUGUUGACAUGAAGAAGCAACUUGUUACAGAUCAAGGAAGAGAAGGCUUAACUCCUCUUCAUUUAGCAAGUGAAAUUGGUGAUAUUGAAUUUUUAGCUAAGUUUAUUUAUGCUUGUCCAGAAUCAAUUGAAUGCUUGACUGCGAGGAAUGAGACUGCACUACAUAUUGCUAUUAAGAAUCAACAGUUUGAGGCUCUUCAAUUUCUUGUUGGCUGGCUCGUAAGAAAUGAGGAGAGAGGUGUUACAGAGUUGGAAAAUAAAAUACUUAACCAAAAGGAUGUGGAUGGAAACACUAUUUUGCACAUUUCAGCUCAAAGUAGUGAUCCACGGGUAACUUUCGUUUGUAUAUUUAUUUUGUUCUCCCCUCAAAUUAAAAACUAUAUGUAAAUGAUUCUCAUAUUUCUUAUUAUUUUACUUUGUAGCACAGACAGUUCGAUUGUUGGUAAAAGACUGGGAUAAAUUUGAAGGCAAAGAACUUAGACAACAAAACAACAUUAGACAUGGCAACCAAUGAAGGUGCAAAAAGUGGCUCACAAGUCAUUGACAUACGUUCACAAGAACUAAUAAUACCAAUGACGACACUAUAUGAUAAAAUGUUAAUUUUAUUACGUCGCCUUAGUAACGAUAUAUCAAAUAAUCAACGCGAAACUUUGCUGAUAGUUGUGACACUUGUUGCGACUGCCACUUAUGAAUCAGCAAUGAGUCCCCCUGGUGGAAUUUAUCAGGCUGAUGCUGGUGACAAUAAUGUGAAAAUCAGUUCCUCCAAUUCUACUAUUUCUAACCCAGGAAAUGUUGGGAAAUCGAUUUUGUCAAGACAUGAUUUCUUAGUGUUUUCAUUGAUGAAUAUGUUUUCUUUUUACGAAUCAAUUACAGUAAUAUUGUUUUUGAUGCCAGGUGGGAUAGUUGGCGCUCUACUGUUAGAUACAGUUAUUUUCUUUGUCGUGAGUUAUAUAAUUUUUCUGGUGAAAAUAUCCCCUACACAUUUCAAUGAGAUGAUCAUCCUGUAUGGUUUCAUCAUCAUCAUGUCUGCCGUAUUAUUUAUGUUCUACCAGAAACUUAAGAAAACACCAAUCAAGGGGGCAACACAGAUCAUACCACUGUCGUGCCGGCUGAAUUCACCAACAACAAUAUCUCCGUACAAUAAUUUCUAUUUUUCGUUCUUAACCUUUUUCUUGUUCAAUCUUACCAAAUUGUUAAUUACUAUAUCAUAUAUUGUAUUCUAUUCCAUCUAUGUGUAUUUAUUAUUAUUAUUAUUUAAAAUGAGAUUACUCAACAUGAUAUAUGUGUGAAUAGUCUUUUGAAUAACUUCUUUUUUUUUUAAGUGUAAUGGGAAAAGCCCCUAGCCUUUAGGGCCUAUUUGAAUGAAUUUAUGUUUUUAAUUUUUCAACAAUCUUUUACAAUUUAAUUUUAAAAACUCUUUAUAAGGAAAAAAAAAAAAACAAUCAAUGUUGUUUGGUAAUUCUAUUUUCAAACACCAUCUCCACCACCACGACCUACCGCUCCGGAAUUUUCUUCAUAAAAAAAAACUUUGUUCACCAUCGUGUCGUGUUCGUUGCUCUCUUAUAAUAAUCCUCCAUCAAAACGGAGAUCAAUGAGAAUCAUGGUUGGAGUUGGUAGCUCCAAGCAAUCCCAUAUUGUGGACACAACCAUUGAUACCAUCUCUGAUGACGAUUCUGGUUCAAAAUCACCACAAAAAUCCUUGAAACCAACCACUUCACCAUCAAAAUCAAUAUAAUGUCUUUUUCCGCCUUAAAAAAUACCACCUAAAAAGAGAAAAUGAGAUUUAACUAAAAAGCUUCGCUAUAAGAUUUUUUAUUAAAAUUGAGACACAUUAUCUUAUCUCAACCUUUAUUUGAAUAUUUUUUAUUUAUGAUAUUUAAUUAUUUACCAUAACUCAUUCAGCUAUCGUCCAAUGUUUUGUCUAUCAUGUCAUAAUUUUGAAAACAUGUAAUGUCAAUGAUUCUAAGAAGUACUCCCUCGAGUGACUAUUUUAGUUUUAAGUAAAAAAAAUUCUCUUGUUGUAUUAAAAAUAUAGUUAAAUGGCAAUUAAUUUUAUAUAUUUUACAUAAAAUAUAAGUUAAAUUUAUUAAAUUGUCAUUUUUAAUGUACAAUAUUCGACUAUUAAUAUUAAAUAUUUUGAUGUAAAUGGUGGAUUAAAAAUAGACAUGGCAACAGGCGGGACGGGGGCGAAAUAUAAAGUAUAUUUAAUAUGUCCAUGUGUAUAAAAUUUAAAAAUGAGAAUAAUAUUAUUAGCGGGACAUAUUCGAGUCCGAAUUCGGGGUGAAUGUCAACACACUCGCACUCGAUUAAAGCGAUUUUUCUCCGUCCAAAUUAAAACGAUUUCAAAUGGAUAUACGCGGAGGCGGAUUAUGUUGUCAUCUCUAAUUAAAAUAAUAAUAUUAAAUUAAUCAAAACUAUCUUAUAUUUAGGAUGCAAUGUUUUAAAUUUUUACAGAAUUAAAACAUAGAUAUAAAAACAUAUGUUAAAUUUCUUAGGUAAGUUUUGUCAUGUUAAUUGGUAGAGAUUAAUUGGAGAAAAUGUAUAUAUUUAACUAAAGCAAAUCUCGUUAGUGUAAAAUAGAAAAACAAAUACAAAUUAUUUUGUAAAUGUUUAAUGAAACCUAAUAUAUUUCCUAUUUUAAAUUGGACCACCAUCUCUAACCUUAAAUUUUAUAAAUAAAUAAAUAAAACAAAAUAAUUAAUUAAAGAAGGAUUUAUGUAAUGUAUAUUUGAAUAAUGAAGUUAUUUAAAAAAUGAAGGUGACCCACUAGGUUUUGGAUUUGGGCUUUGGGCCAAAAUAUUAGCGUCCAUUCCACGCAGAAUCUUAACUCCUAAUAACCCUAGUUUCUAGUUUACUUAUCUUGUUUUGAUUUUGAAAGAAUAAAAACCUACCAAUCACUCUCUAACCUCUCUCAUCUUUGCUCUUCGCCGUCACCGCAACCACCGUUCCCUCAAAUCAAAAUACCAUGUCGGACGAAGAGCACCAUUUCGAAUCCAAGGCCGACGCCGGAGCCUCCAAAACCUACCCUCAACAAGCCGGUACCAUCCGUAAAAACGGUUACAUCGUCAUCAAAAACCGUCCUUGCAAGGUCCGUAUCCACAUUCUAAUUCCUUUUUUAAUUAGGUUUUUACUAAAUUAAUCAUUGAUUUGAUUUCAUGUAUUUGAUUAGAUCCAGUUUUUCUGCUUCACUGUUUUGG
rnacentral:lncRNA from 1 species